UAAAAAUUAAAAAAAAUCAAAUAAAAAAGAAGUGAUUUACUCCUUCUUUCCUAUCCUUUCUGUAUUCUUUAUUUUUUGAUUUUUUCACGUGAUCAAUUGUUGGAGAACUCCCCCAUUCUGCACUCUCUCCCUCUCCAACGCUAAAACUCCCUUCAGGCAUUAAACACAGCUCUAUUUCCAUCAUCUCUUUCCCCAAUUCAAUUUUUUCCUAACCUAAUCAAGCAUGCGUGAUGCUUCUCCCCACAUAUGCCGAUCCCACUCCCCUUCUCGAGAUGUUCUCUCACCGCCGCUACCUCUAUCCAAUCUCUUUCCCCAACUUCGCCGCCACACGUUUUUUUAUCUCCAAUUACCAGUGUGCAUUCACACUACCCUCCCUAUUUAUUGUUUUCGUUUUCCAGGUUUGUGUCUAAACCCUAACUCGGAUUUUGCACAUACAGCCCCAUUUUCUCUCUAUAUAAGGAUCUUCUUGGUUAUUCAAGACUCAAUCAACCUUUGGUUUGUUUCCCUUUUUCCUCUUUUGCCUUCCCGUCGUUUUCCAUGGCUAUGAAUGUUGAUGGCGUCUCAACCAUUGAUUCUUUCAAGAGACUUUGAAUGCCCUUCACCCUCCAAGGGGUUGAUCUAUCAGGACCUUCAUAAUGGAGAGCCUCUCCAGGGUCUAUCCUAGAGGGCAGAGAAGGACUGUCCUGUCCAAGGUUAAUUGUAUUGCAGAUGCUUCAUAUAUGAUUCUAUUCUAUGUUUUUGUUAGUUUGUAUUUUCAAUCUGUGUUGAAUUUGUUGUUUAGAUUUCAUUUUCGUUAUUCAUUAUACUCUGAGAUUGUGAAGACUAUUUGUUACUUUCCAGCUGAUUGAUUUUUGGAGCUUCUAUUCUGUUUCUAAGAGUGCAGAAGCUUUAAAUUUCAUGUAUUUGCAUAAAUCUUUUGCUACCAAGCUAUACUGACUGUAUGCUACGACUAUUUAAAUUUCAUAUCGGACAUUUGGGUCUUUUUUGGAAUAAUCGUUCUUUCUUAGUGUUUUUAUGGCUGGAGAAAGUAAAGGUCCUUUCCCUAUUUCAUUCUUAUUCAUUUGAGUAAUUCCUUUAUCAUUUGUAGGAAGCAGGACUCAAGGAAGUUGGAAAUAUAUCAGCAAUAAGUUAACAUAAGGAAGUUGGAAAUACAUCAGCAACAAGUCAACAAUUUUUAUAGGCAAUAAAAAUUGAAAAUUUCCUCAAUUCAUACUCUUCGACUGAUUCAUAACUGGUGGAUGUACUUGGUUUUGACUGUUAUGUGUCUUCUUUAAAUUGUGCAACUUUUAGAAUGGGUUGUUUUUUGCUA